AUCCAGUUGACGAGUCUCAAAUAGAACGAAACGCACGUUCUGGAU
rnacentral:hammerhead_ribozyme from 1 species